UACGUAGGGUGCGAGCGUUGUCCGGAAUUACUGGGCGUAAAGGGCGCGUAGGUGGCGCCGCAAGUCCAUGGUGAAAGCUCGAUGCUCAACAUCGAGUCGGCCACGGAGACUGCGGGGCUCGAGCACUGUAGGGGCAGAGGGAAUUCCUGGUGUAGCGGUGAAAUGCGUAGAGAUCAGGAAGAACAUCGGUGGCGAAGGCGCUCUGCUGGACCUAACUGACACUCAGGGACGAAAGCUAGGGGAGCGAAUGGG
rnacentral:rRNA from 1 species